GGAAAUAAAUGGAAACAUCAUUACCUUUACACUGAGGAGGGUCACUACUCCACUUGUUAUUCCCAACACAAAUAAGUUUGCUGUCUCCAACAAGUGAAAAUUCGUCUGAUCCUUGUGAAGGAUUACAACUGUUUACCCUUGAGCUUCAUUGUUUCGAAUUUUGGUGGUUCACCACAGGCAUCUAGUGAUAAGACAAUGAGAAUAUGAAAAUGAAGUAUUUAUCUCUUUCACCAGCCAAGGCUCUGGUCUGGCAGCAGACCCUACUAAAAAAACUCAGAAGAUUUUUCUGCAGCAGCCUGGUUUCAAGGUCAAUGGAUGAACAAGCAAGGCCAUACAUUCCUUACCCGAGAUAAGGAGUCCA